rnacentral:lncRNA from 1 species
AUUAAAUGGUUUAAUUAUUUAUGGCAAGGAUUAAUUAAUAUGUUAAUUAAUCAAAUGAAUAAGUUUGUUAAAGACCUCGGGCUAGUUUUGGACCUUUAGGCCCAAUGGGCUUCGAACGUCAAGCCCAUUGACUUAAGUUGUAUGACAAUUUAAUGAAUAAAGAUUCAUAAAGGCCCAAAAGCCCAUAUCCCUUAUAUGGCCGGCCAUGUGUGUUGAAUUAGGGUUUUUGGUUCUUAAGUUAUUUAAAGAAGUGACUAUAUAAAGAACUUUAUAGCCUAAAAUUCAUUAAGGGGUUCUUUUGGAGAAAAUUGGAGAGAACAUGUCUCUCCUUUUCUCUCUAGGAGGCUGGCCCCCUUGGAGGGUGUAUCUAGCAAUCCUACUCCUCCAAGGUCACUCAUUUCUACUUAAAUCUAACCUUGGUGUAGAGACUUAGAGGUUCUCAAUUUUGGGAACUUGGAUAACCAUAUUCUUCCAUCCAAAUCCAUAGAUUUUAGAUGCAAGGAAUGAAGGCCCUCUCUUUGGGUGAUUAACCUUUGCUUAUGCAAAGAGGAAUCUACAAAGGUAUAUAUUUCUCAACUCACUUUGAUUUGAGUUGAGUCUUGGUUCACCAAUCUACUAGGCUUUGAAUUUCAUGGGUAAUGUUUUGUUUUUGAAUGCAUGCAAGCAUGAUUCCGCUUUUUAAUUGUUAAAUGCAUGCUAUAGAUGUUAUUCAAAUGAACAUGUUUUCACAAAAUAAUCCUUCAUCAUGAUGGGUGCCUCGUUAAAACCUAGUUAGGUAGCAAAAAUCCAGUGGGAAAAAUGCUCCUAAUCGUAAGGAAAAUAAGUACAUUAAGAUCAAGUGAAUAUACUUCUGGAUACUCCCCCUGAUUUUGACAUAACUUCCAAAUGAGAACUACAAGCAUUGCAUAUGAAUAGUUAGGCAUACCAACUCCUCGGACAAGCUUCUGGAAGGUUGACUUUGGCAGUGACAUCGUGUAGAGGUCGGCAAGGUUGUUUGGGAUCGGCUUGCAUGACUUCAAUCUCCUGAUGCUUUGUUGAUGUAGAUGUGAACGCAAUAUGUUUUUACGUUGACUUCAUUGAUGUAUCAUGGCUUGGUCGGGUUGAUACAUGCGGUAUAGUCUUCAUGGAUCGUUGUUGGGACUCAACGAUGGAUGAAAAUAGCAAGUACUUCAAAUAUGCUCAACAAGAACUCCUAACCAUGUCACACUUGUGGCGUAGUGAAGUAAGGUGAGUCUUUGAACGAUUCAAAGAUUUCGAAACUAAGGUCAUAUCUUGGACCUCCAAGAUAUUGCAAUAUCCUUAAUGGUAAAGACAUAACCAUUUGAUGAUUUUACCUUGUGCAGGUUUGAUAAGUAACCUACGUCAGCAUAACAAACAAGGCAAGCAUCAUUCCGAGGAUUAGGGGGUUGGAUCCGCUCGAGAUGCGUUGCGAUUUGCCCUUAUAGUACCUUCAGGGUAUGUCUUUAAUACCAAUUCUUUGGUUGCAUAUAAGCGCGGUGUUGCAUCUUUACCAAGAGAUCAACAGUGAAAGAGAUGUCCUGUCUAAAUAUAAUAGGCUAAGUACAAUGAAGCGCAAAGUUGAACAUAGAUAUGGAAUUUCGGAUUCCAUAACCUUUUCAAGGGUCUCAUUUGCAUAUAAAGUAUGGACGAUCAUAGGUAUACUCAAACGUAACACAUUCGGGGUGUAGUUCGACUAGUAGACCAAGGAACUGUCAGAACAACGCUUGAACUUCAGGUCAAGGCAUAAACGAGUUUUCCUAAGAUCAUUCAUCUCAAAUUCCAUAUUCAGGUGCGAGGUAGUUUUCUCAAGCUCUUCCAGAGUCUUAGUGAGAUGUAUGUCAACACAUAAACUGUAACCCUAGCAAUUUGGAAUAAGACUUCAUAGUUUAACACGCAAGGGCAUAAUUCAUAUCCUUGACUGAUCAAAUAAUCACUUAGAUGGGUAUACCACAUCCGUUAGAUUGUAAGUGAAUGCCUCAAACAAGUUAAAAGGGUGUUCUGUGGUUUGGAACUAUUUAAACUAGUCCUUGUAAUUCUUUGGGAACUUACAUGUAAAUGUCCGUAUCUAUAUCCCCAUGGAGAAAACUAACCACAUUUCAUAAUGCUACUAUCAGUCAUAGGACAUUUGAGAGAAACCUUGCGCCGUAAGACGUACAUUAUAUUGCACUAUUUCAUUCAUCUCAUAACGCUUCCUUUCCCACUUGUAACAUAACAGGUUUACCUUGGGCAGUGUAAGAAUGACAGGUCCAAUACACAUUUGGUAAAGAAUUUGACCUGGAUUGUAAUUUUAGUUGUCCAUUGAGUUUUACGUUGUCACUUAAUCAACGGAACACUGUUCAAUAUUGUUGCUUUUCAUUUAUGUCGUUAGCUACCAUAUAAGUGAAAACAUCAUCGAUGGUAAUCUCAUUUCAAUUCCAUUUAGCUAAUCCAAACUAGUAUACUGGACCAAGAACUUUAAGUCUCAGGAGAAAUCCGGAUUAAUCUCAUGAGAUGGAAAUGAUUUAAGACAACAAUCAAGUGUAGAUUCAUUAUUGUGCCAUGUCUUCCUCUUCCAGGGAAAUGAAUCCUACAAAUCGAGUGAUCUGUCGUGCUCCAGGCCAAGACAAAUUGAUUAGCUAUCCGCCAGUGUACCGGACCGUCCAACAGGGGUGGCACACCCUCGAGGGAUGUUGACUUGACGUCCGUCAUGUACAUCUAUCCUUGCAGGCAUGUUUACAACUGGUAUAUGAUCUCGUCACUUUAGCUAGAUCAGAGGAAUGUGUCUGGAGCAACAUUCUAAAAUGUAGAAUUCAUCGCACUUGCUUAUCAUACGUGUGCGAUACGGGGAUCGAGAUGAGACAUAGUGGACAACGUCCACACAAAUUCGUGCCGUUCUCCAGGAAUAUUAACGUUCAUAUCUCCCCUUAAUGGCAGGAAGACUAUCUCAUUAAAGUGACAACCCGCAAAUGAGGGAUAAAGAGAUCGCGUGCAAUGGCUUGAAGAGAGCUAGUGUGAAGGAGAAUCAUAAUCGACAAAGAUUUACAUGCUUCUUUGAGGACCCAUAUUAGUAUGUUGUAGCAGCGCAACUUGGCACAUAGAAUGCACACCCAAAUGAGUAAAUACAAAAAUCAUCAAGUUCGUACCCAAUAACUAACUGUAACGUCAUAUAGGUUGGGUUGCAAUGGGCCUCAAGGCGAACCAACAUAACUGUGUACAAGAUUGCAUAGCCCUAGGCAGAAAUUGAAAACUUGGUAUGUUUACCAAAAAUUCAAGCGAUCAUUUAAAUUACGCUUUAUGAUCGUUAGGCGAGUCUAUUUGGGGUGAACAUGGGAAUUCGAUGUUCAAUUAUAAACCCAAAAUACAUGAAAUACUUUAUCGAAAACCGUCGAUAUAAACUCUUCAGCAUUAUCCAAUCUCUCGGACCUUAAGGGAUAAGUAGAGUGGUGAACUCGUAAUCGGCCAGGAUGUUUAGCAACAAUGUGUGUGGACAAACAUAUGACCAAUUUGUCGAUUCAUCAACCAAAACCAUUAGUAUUUAUAUGGUCCUCAUUUUGGUUGGAUUAAUCCAUAUAUAUUCCCUUGAAUCCAUUAUGAAAAGAGGGUCGUUUCGUAUCUUUGCGAGGAAUGAUAUAGAAAAUCAAUUUCCCUAAUAAGCAGGCUUGGCAAAGUGUGCUUGUAGGCACAAAAUCCUUACUUUGGGUAAGAAGAUGCGUUAUAGCAUCAUUGUUCGACCUAAAUGUCCCAAAAGGUCGUACCAAAGCAAGUAAACUACUCAAUCACCAAGCUCUAGGCCGGCCACAUGUGGUGUGUUCCCAAUUGGGAGACAACCCAUUAGCCCCAAAUCAAAGCUGCAUGCUUAUUUUUGGAGGUGGUGCAAAGAUAUUUCACUCUAUUUUCUUCAGUGGUUUCAUUUAUGAUCACUGUCAUCUUGAAUAUCCUUAAAAACUCAACGAUAAGGAGAAUUUAAGGUCCCUUAAAUGGUGAUUCAGUAC